rnacentral:lncRNA from 1 species
CCAUUAUAAAUUAGCUACUUAAUUUUUUAAAAUUUUAAAUUUAAUAUUCAAUCUUUCAAUUUAUUUAAUUUGAGUCAGUUAAUGAAAUUUUGAUUUUAAAAUUUAAACUUAUGAAAUAUAUUAAGUAAACGUGUAAAGAUUAAUAACGCAAUCAAAUUUUAAAUUUGAAGUACCAUUAACUGGUUCAAAUUAAGUAAAUUGAAAGAUUAAAUAGUUUAAAAAGAUUGAAUAGCCAACUCAAAAUAAUUCAUAUUUCAGAUAAAUUUUAUUUAUUUUUU